UUUGGAGGGCAAGUUUGGUGCCAGCAGCCGCGGUAAUUCCAGCUCCAAUAGCGUAUAUUAAAGUUGUUGCAGUUAAAAAGCUUGUAGUUGAAUUUCGGGAUCAGUACGCUGGUCGUGCCUUCGGUAUGUACUGGUGUUACUGGUUCCUCCCUUCUGACGAACCGUCAUGUCAUUAAUUUGGUGUGCGGAAUCAGACGUGCUU
rnacentral:rRNA from 1 species